GUCGCCGGUAGUCUAAGGUUUCCGACGGAAGGUCAGUCCGCGUCGGGUGAGUCGAGCCUAAGCCGAGGCUGAAGAGCGCAGGCGAUGGAUAGCAGGUCAAAAUUCCUGCACCAGUAUGUGGAGCAAAGCGGACUACCGCUUGAAGGUAGGCACCAGCGGGUGGAUGUUGGUGACUGCGGGAGAGGGGUCAAGAAAAGACUGCGAGCGGUGAAGCAUGCUGACCGUACCACAAACCGACACAGGUAGACGAGUAGAGGAUACUAAGGCGAACGGGAGAACCUCUGUUAAGGAACUCGGCAAAAUAGCCCUGUAACUUCGGGAGAAGGGGCGCCCCUGCAAGGGGGUCGCAGUGAAAGGGCUCUACCGACUGUUUACCAAAAACACAGGUCUGUGCUAACGCGCAAGCGGACGUAUACGGGCUGACGCCUGCCCAGUGCCGGAAGGUUAAGAGGAGCGGUUAACGCUGCGAAUUGAAGCCCCGGUGAACGGCGGCCGUAACUAUAACGGUCCUAAGGUAGCGAAAUUCCUUGUCGGGUAAGGUCCGACCCGCACGAAAGGCGUAACGAGUGGAGCGCUGUCUCAACAGGGGACCCGGCGAAAUUGAAGUACGUGUGAAGAUGCGCGUGACCCGCAGCAGGACAAAAAGACCCCGUGGAGCUUUACUGUAGCCUGUCAUUGCGUUAGGACUGCGUUUGUGUAGGAUAGCUGGGAGACGGAGAAGCUGGGGCGCUAGCCUCGGUGGAGUCAACGGUGAAAUACCAGCCUGACGUGGUUUUGACCCUAACCCUUCGGGGGACAGUGGCAGGUGGGCAGUUUGACUGGGGCGGUCGCCUCCUAAAAGGUAACGGAGGCGUUCAAAGGUUGGCUCAGGCUGAAUGGAAACCAGCCAGUGAGUGCAAAGGCACAAGCCAGCUUGACUGCGAGGCCAACGCGCCGAGCAGAGAAGAAAGUCGGACUUAGUGAUCCUACGACUCCGAGUGGAAGGGUCGUAGCUUACCGGAUAAAAGCUACCCCGGGGAUAACAGGCUAGUCUUGUCCAAGAGUUCACAUCGACGACAAGGCUCGGCACCUCGAUGUCGGCUCAUCGCAUCCUGGGGCUGGAUAAAGUCCCAAGGGUUGGGCUGUUCGCCCAUUAAAGCGGUACGUGAGCUGGGUUCAGACCGUCGUGAGACAGGUCGGUCUCUAUCCGCUGUGGGCGUCGGGAGUUUGAGAGGAUCUGCCCCUAGUACGAGAGGACCGGGGUGGACGGAGCGCUUGUGUGUCGGUUGUCGUGCCAACGGCACAGCCGAGUAGCAAUCUCCGGAGCAGAUAACCGCUGAAAGCAUCUAAGUGGGAAACUGACCUCAAGAUGAGACUCCCCAUCGCGAAAGCGAGUAAGACCCCAGGUAGACGACCUGGUUGAUAGGCGGGAGGUGGAAGCGCAGCAAUGUGUGGAGCUGACCCGUACUAAUGGUCGAGGGCUU
rnacentral:rRNA from 1 species